rnacentral:rRNA from 1 species
UACAGAGGGUGCGAGCGUUGUCCGGAAUCACUGGGCGUAAAGGGCGCGUAGGUGGCGACCCAAGUCGGGGGUGAAAUCUUUCGGCUUAACCGGAAAAGUGCCUCUGAUACUGCGGAGCUCGAGGGAGGUAGGGGCGGACGGAACUUCCGGUGGAGCGGUGAAAUGCGUUGAUAUCGGAAGGAACGCCGGUGGCGAAAGCGGUCCGCUGGCCCUCUACUGACGCUGAGGCGCGAAAGCCAGGGGAGCAAACGGG